AUCCCCAUCCGAUUGUGUGAUUUUCCUUUUCAAAGGAAAACAUACAUGCAGCAAAUUAGGCGAUGGUGGUGCCUAGUUCUCCUGCAGAACUUUCCCAUGCCGUCUGAAGAGGUUAAAAAGAUCAAAAAAUGAGUGAAAACAAAACACACUACAGGAUGAUGUAGAAGACUUCCCCCCAAGAAGUCACAGCAUGUCACAUCAGCGUCCAGCUCUGUAGGAUCAGACGAUACUGAAAACAAAAUGAAUGUGAACUGGGAGCUGUGAACUGGGAAGCAGAUGUUCUUCUAAGGGACACCCUAGAGGCAGCAAGGUGGUGUGAACUGCAAACAUUUAAAGGCAGUUUCCCUCCCUAAUGUAAUUAGGAAGACCGUAUUACAACUGUUAAAGAACUACGGUUGUAUGAUGGCCUGAAUGAAGAGGAAAAUAUUCUCCUCAAGGAACCAUUCAUGUUCCAUUUACAAGACGUUCUAUGUGGAGGAAGUUGACAACAAGAAAAGUACUGUCUUUGCCUCUUUUGAGGAGUGGUCAAACCUUGGUUUUGUCUGCUCUGUUAAUUGUUUCAAUUGUGAAGAUGACAUAGCAUGAAGUGAAGUGUUUAAAACUCACCUGCUAAUACUUUAUAGAAUAUUUCUUACGAUCUUCAAAAAUGAAAUAUGUUUGUAUUCAACGUGUGCCUUGCACAAACGUGUGUGUUUGUAUUCAGAGUGUGACUCAAACCUCAGAUGGACAAGAAAAGGUGGGCUAUGAAGCCCCUAAAUAAGAUUUGUGGCAGCCAA